CGCCGCGUGAGUGAAGAAGGGUUUCGGCUCGUAAAACUCUGUUGUUAAAGAAGAACAUAUCUGAGAGUAACUGUUCAGGUAUUGACGGUAUUUAACCAGAAAGCCACGGCUAACUACGUGCCAGCAGCCGCGGUAAUACGUAGGUGGCAAGCGUUGUCCGGAUUUAUUGGGCGUAAAGCGAGCGCAGGCGGUUUUUUAAGUCUGAUGUGAAAGCCUUCGGCUCAACCGAAGAAGUGCAUCGGAAACUGGGAAACUUGAGUGCAGAAGAGGACAGUGGAACUCCAUGUGUAGCGGUGAAAUGCGUAGAUAUAUGGAAGAACACCAGUGGCGAAGGCGGCUGUCUGGUCUGUAACUGACGCUGAGGCUCGAAAGUAUGGGUAGCAAACAGGAUUAGAUACCCUGGUAGUCCAUACCGUAAACGAUGAAUGCUAAGUGUUGGAGGGUUUCCGCCCUUCAGUGCUGCAGCUAACGCAUUAAGCAUUCCGCCUGGGGAGUACGGCCGCAAGGCUGAAACUCAAAGGAAUUGACGGGGGCCCGCACAAGCGGUGGAGCAUGUGGUUUAAUUCGAAGCUACGCGAAGAACCUUACCAGGUCUUGACAUACUAUGCAAAUCUAAGAGAUUAGACGUUCCCUUCGGGGACAUGGAUACAGGUGGUGCAUGGUUGUCGUCAGCUCGUGUCGUGAGAUGUUGGGUUAAGUCCCGCAACGAGCGCAAC
rnacentral:rRNA from 2 species